CAAUAGCGUAUAUUAAAGUUGUUGCAGUUAAAAAGCUCGUAGUUGGAUUUCUGGUCGGAAGCUCCUGUCCUCUGAUGAGCGUACAAGUGCGUCCUACCAUCCUUCUGUUAACCUUUAAGGCUUUCGCGGCUUUCUAGGGGCUCAGAUAUUUUACCUUGAGAAAAUUAGAGUGUUUCAGGCAGGCUAGCGCCGGAAUACAUUAGCAUGGAAUAAUGGAAUAGGACUUUUGCCUCUUCUGUUGGUCAUGAGGCUCGAGUAAUGAUUAAUAGGGAUAGUUGGGGGCAUUAGUACUUAACUGUCAGAGGUGAAAUUCUCGGAUUUGUUAAAGACGGACUACUGCGAAAGCAUUUGCCAAGGAUGUUUUCAUUG
rnacentral:rRNA from 1 species